rnacentral:rRNA from 1 species
AGUGAACGCUGGCGGUAGGCCUAACACAUGCAAGUCGAACGGCAGCACAGUAAGAGCUUGCUCUUACGGGUGGCGAGUGGCGGACGGGUGAGGAAUACAUCGGAAUCUACUUUUUCGUGGGGGAUAACGUAGGGAAACUUACGCUAAUACCGCAUACGACCUACGGGUGAAAGCAGGGGAUCUUCGGACCUUGCGCGAUUGAAUGAGCCGAUGUCGGAUUAGCUAGUUGGCGGGGUAAAGGCCCACCAAGGCGACGAUCCGUAGCUGGUCUGAGAGGAUGAUCAGCCACACUGGAACUGAGACACGGUCCAGACUCCUACGGGAGGCAGCACUGGGGAAUAUUGGACAAUGGGCGCAAGCCUGAUCCGGCCAUACCGCGUGGGUGAAGAAGGCCUUCGGGUUGUAAAGCCCUUUUGUUGGGAAAGAAAAGCAGCAGGUUAAUACCCCGCUGUUCUGACGGUACCCAAAGAAUAAGCACCGGCUAACUUCGUG